GGAAAUCUCUCCAGGCCCGGACACUGGAAGGGUUGACAGACUUAUAGCUCUUUCUUGAUUCUGUGGGUGGUGGUGCAUGGCCGUUCUUAGUUGGUUGAGUGAUUUGUCUUGUUAAUUCCGAUAACGAACGAGACCUUAACCUGCUAAAUAGUGACGCGGUUCAUCGAACCGUGGGCCACUUCUUAGAGGGACUAUCGGAUUCAAACCGAUGGAAGUGUGAGGCAAUAA
rnacentral:rRNA from 1 species